ACUCGUAGACUCCGUACGGGAGGCAGCAGUGGGGGAAUAUUCACAAUGGGCGCAAAGCCUGAUGNAGCCAUGCCGCGUGUGUGAAGAAGGCCUUCGGGUUGUAAAGCACUUUCAGUCGUGAGGAAGGUAGUGUAGUUAAUAGCUGUAUUAUUUGACGUUAGCGACAGAAGAAGCACCGGCUAACUCCGUGCCAGCAGCCGCGGUAAUACGGAGGGUGCGAGCGUUAAUCGGAAUUACUGGGCGUAAAGCGCAUGCAGGUGGUUUGUUAAGUCAGAUGUGAAAGCCCGGGGCUCAACCUCGGAAUUGCAUUUGAAACUGGCAGACUAGAGUACUGUAGAGGGGGGUAGAAUUUCAGGUGUAGCGGUGAAAUGCGUAGAGAUCUGAAGGAAUACCGGUGGCGAAGGCGGCCCCCUGGACAGAUACUGACACUCAGAUGCGAAAGCGUGGGGAGCAAACAGGAUUAGAUACCCUGGUAG
rnacentral:rRNA from 1 species